UGCGGGAUGAUGAAGUGGUAUCAUGCGACACUCUGAAUGUCGUCUCCUAGGUUCGAGUCCUAGUCCCGCAACCC
rnacentral:tRNA from 1 species